GACGAACGCUGGCGGCGUGCCUAAUACAUGCAAGUCGAGCGGAGUUGAUGAGGUGCUUGCACCUCUGAUGCUUAGCGGCGGACGGGUGAGUAACACGUAGGUAACCUGCCCGACAGACCGGGAUAACAGUCGGAAACGAUUGCUAAUACCGGAUACGCGAUUCUGUUGCAUGACGGAAUCGGGAAAGGCGGAGCAAUCUGCCACUGACGGAUGGACCUGCGGCGCAUUAGCUAGUUGGUGAGGUAACGGCUCACCAAGGCGACGAUGCGUAGCCGACCUGAGAGGGUGAUCGGCCACACUGGGACUGAGACACGGCCCAGACUCCUACGGGAGGCAGCAGUAGGGAAUCUUCCGCAAUGGGCGAAAGCCUGACGGAGCAACGCCGCGUGAGUGAUGAAGGUUUUCGGAUCGUAAAGCUCUGUUGCCAGGGAAGAACGGUUAGGAGAGUAACUGCUCCUGAUAUGACGGUACCUGAGAAGAAAGCCCCGGCUAACUACGUGCCAGCCGCCGCGGUAACAC
rnacentral:rRNA from 1 species